rnacentral:ncRNA from 1 species
UUCUUCGGGGCAGGGUGCUGCGUGAUAUCGCAUAUUCCCGACCGACGGUAUAGUCCGUGAACUGCUUAGGCAGCCGAUCCGGUGAGAUUCCGGGACCGACAGUAUAGUCUGGAUGAGAGAAGAA